UGACCGCUGGCGGCGUGCCUACUACAUGCAAGUCGAGCGACCGGACGAGAAGCUUGCUUCUCUGAUGUUAGCGGCGGACGGGUGAGUAACACGUGGAUAACCUACCUAUAAGACUGGGAUAACUUCGGGAAACCGGAGCUAAUACCGGAUAAUAUUUUGAACCGCAUGGUUCCAAAGUGAAAGACGGUCUUGCUGUCACUUAUAGAUGGAUCCGCGCUGCAUUAGCUAGUUGGUAAGGUAACGGCUUACCAAGGCAACGAUGCAUAGCCGACCUGAGAGGGUGAUCGGCCACACUGGAACUGAGACACGGUCCAGACUCCUACGGGAGGCAGCAGUAGGGAAUCUUCCGCAAUGGGCGAAAGCCUGACGGAGCAACGCCGCGUGAGUGAUGAAGGUCUUCGGAUCGUAAAACUCUGUUAUUAGGGAAGAACAUAUGUGUAAGUAACUGUGCACAUCUUGACGGUACCUAAUCAGAAAGCCACGGCUAACUACGUG
rnacentral:rRNA from 1 species